CAAUAGCGUAUAUUUAAGUUGCUGCAGUUAAAAAGCUCGUAGUUGGAUUUCGGGUGGGAAUGGCCGGUCCGCCGUUUCGGUGUGCACUUGCUACGCCCACCUUGCUGCCGGGGACGUGCUCUUGAGUUCACGCUCGGGACACGGAGUCGGCGAGGUUACUUUGAGUAAAUUAGAGUGUUCAAAGCAGGCCUACGCUCUGAAUACAUUAGCAUGGAAUAACACGAUAGGACUCUGGCCUAUCUUGUUGGUCUGUAGGACCGGAGUAAUGAUUAAGAGGGACAGUCGGGGGCAUUCGUAUUUCAUUGUCAGAGGUGAAAUUCUUGGAUUUUGAUCAGACGAACUACUGCGAAAGCAUUUAGCAAGGAUGUUUUCAUUAA
rnacentral:rRNA from 1 species